rnacentral:rRNA from 1 species
AACGAACGCUGGCGGCAGGCUUAACACAUGCAAGUCGAACGCCCCGCAAGGGGAGUGGCAGACGGGUGAGUAACGCGUGGGAAUCUACCCUUUGGUACGGGAUAGCUCCGGGAAACUGGAAUUAAUACCGUAUGUGCCCUGAGGGGCAAAGAUUUAUCGCCAAAGGAUGAGCCCGCGUUGGAUUAGCUAGUUGGUGGGGUAAAGGCCUACCAAGGCGACGAUCCAUAGCUGGUCUAAGAGGAUGAUCAGCCACAUUGGGACUGAGACACGGCCCAAACUCCUACGGGAGGCAGCAGUGGGGAAUAUUGGACAAUGGGCGCAAGCCUGAUCCAGCCAUGCCGCGUGAGUGAUGAAGGUCUUAGGAUUGUAAAGCUCUUUCACCGGGGACGAUAAUGACGGUACCCGGAGAAGAAGCCCCGGCUAACUUCGUGCCAGCAGCCGCCGUAAGAC